UUGGCCUGACUAAAGAUGGACAAGUGCAUUUAACCUAAUUUAUCCUAUUUUUCAAAGUUUACUUUCUUACACCGAGUUUUCUCCACUUUUUACCCACAUACUUGUUUCAUUUAAUUAUAUGUACUUGGUUUUUCUGAGUGCACAGCAUGGUUUGUGGUAUGAGACUUAAGUUUCAGAGCUGUGCGCAUGUCCAUUUCCGGUUAGCGCGCAUUUACCGGAAGCAAGCCGUUCAAAUCCGAUCACGCAGACCCUGGGCUCUCACGGAAGGUUGGCUCUAACGUUGAUUUCGACUAUCUUAGGUGGUGUCUGGCAGUGAAGUUGGUGGCAGUUUGAAAAGAGUUACCCUCGGUCACCAAGACUUUGUUGGCCACCAGGGUACCAGAUAAUCAUCUUACUCAGUCAGACCAGCUCAGCAACCGCAGUUUUCGUGUCUGUACACCUCCUCCUCACUGCUGCGUCAUUGAUAAGAAGCUCUCUCAGUAGACUUGACCAAAAAUCUUUUAGAGAUGAUCCAGACUGUACAAGCUCAAGUUUACAAGUAAAGAAAGGACAAUCCUCAAAAAGAAAGUCUUGGAUUGUGGCCAACUGUCCUCCACUGAGAAUCAAAUCAGUGUCUACUGGAGGAGGCAUGCAUUGAACAUGUCUUUGCUGAGUUCUACAGAGUUACCAGUAAGAACCUUAAGAAAGACUUCUACGAAGCUCUUGACCACCACACCACUCAUCUCAUUGACCUCUUCAAAUCCAGAAAAGGAGUUGUCGGCCAAUCACUUGGUCACCUCUUCCAGCCAAUCAAUUCACAAACAAAUGGCAUCACCACAACACGCACUGUUGUCCUGCAAUGUCUGCCCCUGUAUCUUGGAGAUAAUUCCAGUGAAUUCUUCCUCAGCUGCUCAGAUUCAGACACUGCAGAUGACUUCACUCAGGUUCCUGUUGGGGUUCUUAACGUCAUGACCAGCGACAUGCCACCAUUGAUUAACAGCGUUGCAAUCAUCCUUGAAGGAAACCUCGUCAUGGAUGACAUUCCUACAACCUCUCAAGCACUUUGUCUUCUCUUUGGCUUAAUAUAUGCACUUCAUCUGGAUUACCCCAAAGUUAUGAAGAACACAUUCGAAUUCAUCCAGAAGAUAUUGUUGAACAUCGGACAACAAAAGCUCAGCCCAAAACUGCAAACAUUAAAAAAAUGCUCUUUUGGGCUAGAUGUUGUGGCUAGGGAGAGCUAUGCUGGUGUGUCCACAAGUGUGGUUUGUGAAUGAGUACAAUUGGGCUGAACAUUUAUUUUUACCUAAUUGAAUAUUGUAUUUUACUUUCAUCUUUUUUUAAUGUUUUAAUGUUUUGAUAAUGAAACUGUGACAGAAUACUUGUUUUGUGGAGCUGCUGAGGUCUCCAUAUCGUUUUCUCCAGAAAUAAGAAAACAUGUUUGAUACACAAUGCAAUGAGAUCCCUCUCUCAAAAAUAAUCGUCAGAGUAACUGUUAAAAGAGUAGCAGUAUGUUUUGUUUUUUCUUGAUUUUUGGUUCAGCCUUUUUUCAUUUCAUUAUCUGGCUCAGUAUUAUGAGUGCUCAGUUACUGAGAACUCAUUAAAAACUGUUGAAAAUGAGCAUACAGUUUUUGAUGUUUAGUAUUUGUGCUUCUGCAACACAGGUUCAAUAGUUGUUAAAUUGUUAAGAGCUGACUUGUAGCUGCUUUGAAAGCGUAUGUCCAAGUACAGUUCUAUGUAAUAAUCCAGUUUUAAUUAUCAGGUUUUAUUAAGGUUUUAAACUUUUACAGACUUAAUGUUGACUGGUCUGUUUGUUGCUGUGAGACAUAAUGGAAAGUGUCCACUGUGAAUCAAAAGCCUUCUGUUAGUUUAUACCAGACCAAUCGGCCCACCUCACUCACACUCAUUCUCACUUUUAAGUCUCAUUUUGUCAUACAUCACGUACUGAUUUUCACUCAUACUCACUGACAUCCACUUUCUGUCUCACACGCACUCAAUCGCAUGCACACACACACACACUCACUCACUCGCACACAUUAAUGCUCAUACAGUCAAUCUCUCUUACAAACACAUAAUAUUGAGGAAAUAACCUGGAGAAAUGCAGAACAUAGAAUCUGAACCAAUCAGCAAACAAGGAUGGAUUUGCCUCUAAUUGCGUAGCAUCAUUUAUGCACCCUGUUUUCUCUCCUCUACUCACUGACUGGCCUGGUUUGCCACUAACAGAAGGGUUUCAGCCAGUGCUGAACAAUUAAUUGCAGUAUUAAUAAAAAUAACCAUAUAGCCAAGGACUAUUAUUCAAAUUACAGUAUAUGUAAUUUUUGAUAAAUGUCAAAUUUGGUUAACUUGGUUAAUUUGGUUUAAAAUCAAAGUAUUGUGGUGCUACAGAGAUGGUCUGACCUAAAAACUGUAUAGAAAAUGCAUUGUCAGUGUAGCAGUGAUUAACACUAUUUUAUUUGUUUUCAUUUAUCUAUCAGCCCCCCAAUUGUUCAGCCAAACUUGAUCUUUGAUGGUCUCUUUCUAGACAAUUUUCAGAAUUAACAGCAUUUUGAUUGUUGUUGUUGUUUAUAAAUACAGAAAUAGGAAAAUAAAUUAUGGUUUUCAUAAUACCA